rnacentral:rRNA from 1 species
UGAGGAAUAUUGGUCAAUGGGCGAGAGCCUGAACCAGCCAAGUAGCGUGCAGGAUGACGGCCCUAGGGGUUGUAAACUGCUUUUAUGUGGGGAUAAAGUGCGUGACGUGUCAUGCAUUGCAGGUACCACAUGAAUAAGGACCGGCUAAUUCCGUGCCAGCAGCCGCGGUAAUACGGAAGGUCCGGGCGUUAUCCGGAUUUAUUGGGUUUAAAGGGAGCGUAGGCUGUCUAUUAAGCGUGUUGUGAAAUUUACCGGCUCAACCGGUGGCUUGCAGCGCGAACUGGUCGACUUGAGUAUGCAGGAAGUAGGCGGAAUUCAUGGUGUAGCGGUGAAAUGCUUAGAUAUCAUGACGAACUCCGAUUGCGCAGGCAGCUUACUGUAGCAUAACGGACGCUGAUGCUCGAAAGUGCGGGUAUCAAACAGG